CUGUCAAUUCACACUGAGUACUUUAUUCGUUUACAAGGAAAAGACACUUGACACCCGAAUACAGCUUCUAGUACUUUCUUAACCAUGUUCUUAACCUUUCAGGUUUUCUUUGCUAAACAAAUGUAGGGAUUUGCAGUGGUUGCGACUUAGUGUGUGGUAGUGACUGGGCUAAUUUCACUACUAAAACCAACUAGCUGGAUCUUAGUAAGCAACCGCUGCUGGCCUCUUUGAAAAUAAUUAUUUAUCAUCACCACAAUCAACUGAAGGGCACCCUACAGGGUUACAGCCAACGUCUGCCAAGGAAUUGUCCACUGUAGCAGCAAUUGAUUACUUUCUAUAACCCAAACACAAUACAAAAGAACUCAUGUUAAACAUAGUCCCUCCGAGGGCUGGUGUUCUUGUUUUCUUCCUUUUAGUUUUUCCCCGCUAUAGCUUGGGGUCAGUACAAGUUAUAAGCAUUUAGGAACGAUUUUUAGUUUAUUUUGUUGUAAUAUUUCCACAGGCAAUAGAAAUCACAUAUUAUGUUAUUAGAAACCUAAUAUUUGGACGGUAGAGUAAGAAUUACAGCACCUUACGGGUACAGAUAUUACUGAAAUAGAAUCUUAUCAAUUCCACUAGCAAAGCCACUUAUCUAACAAAAUUUAAUAAAUACAAGCUUUGAACAGGCAUGUACUCGUAGAAAACAAGAUAGUGCUACUAAAGUUAUUAUUAUUAUUUACGUAUUUUAAACACAUAGCAUGGAUACUUCCUAUGCCUAAUGUAAUCCAAAAUAGAAGAAGUCUGCACCUAAAGACUCAUAGUGCUGUAGUUGUUACUUUGUAUGAGUAAUUUUUAUCCCGUCAAAGUAUAAAGAAUAAGCUGAUCUGUUAGAAAUGAAACUGAAACUGAAAGUAAUGGCAGGACACCUGCAGGUAGAGAUACCUUGGAACAUAACAUACUAUUGCAGCAAAUGACAAAUUAUAACAUCACCUCGCUACACGUAAUGCCGUAAAAAAUGUCUGAGUCACAUUUAUCGAGGAUAAAAUUGAAAAAUAUAUUCCUAAUCACAGAGCGGUGCGCAUUGGACGGCCAGGUAAUCUAGAGGCAGAUAAUUCCAAUAACAGCACUUCGGAUGACCUCGCACACGCUGAUAGUUGUAACAUGCUUGUUACGUGUGUCCAACUCACACGAUUACAUCGCUACAUCGCCCCGGCCAACUGCUACUUUAUUACUACACGUCAUGAUAUCAGAACACUCAAUCGUUACUCAUUCAGGUCCAAAACAGGCACACGUGGGACCUUCCAACUACAAUCCCACAGGGUAGUCUUCAACAACGGUGUAGAAUCUAUAGAUGUGUGCGCAGUGACAUGAUUAUAAUUAUUUGAAACAGUAAAAUAUAUACGAUGGAGAUCUCUCACCGACACUCGUACAGAUAUCCAGAUUACUUCAUAUCUACAGGUACCUGCGUGUAGGUACCUAUUUACAAAAUACCUACGAAUUCGUGUGAUAGUUGUGUAUGUACUCGCACAGGUGUAUGAUAUGCUCCAGAAAGCACACACCUUGGCUGUUAUCAAAUGACACCGUUUGAUAUGCGCCUUUACCAGCUUAUCUAUCAUGUCGAAAUUCUUCCACGUACCUAUCACAUAUCCUAGUAAAGUAAGUCCGUAUCGACCAUGUUUUAUUCGCCAAUAUUAUUUAGUUGAAUUAUUCCACCACUACUUAAUAUUAUGCUAUUGAGGCAAGUAUGAAGAAGAUUCUUUGUCUUACUUCUAUGACUUAUUUCUGUGUUCCCGUUGUAGCGACGCGCCUGUCUAUACUGUUAUCAUAAUGAAUCAUUAAGUCAAGCUCCAGCAGCAGUCGCAUCCGCUACCGGAAUUGUCUAUUUUGAAAUAAUGAGAAAGUAAUGAAAUUAUCAGAGAGCAGCAGCUAGAUAAUUAUAAUGUAAUAAAGGUGUAUCUCAACUGUAAACAAGGCAGCUAGUCGAGGUGGUGGCGUCGUCGCCAGCAGAUGCCGGCGCGCGGGCGCGCGGGCGCGUGGGGCGCCGGAGCACCGGCCGCAGCGCUGCGCACCGCCACCGCUGCUUAUCACCGAUACCUUGCCGAUUGGCUGAGUGGAGUGUUUGCGCGCCUGAUAUGGCUGACGGGGGCCAAUCGAUUCCCCGUUCCGUCGAAUCUUAUCACGAUCAUGGUGGACGUUUGUGCCUCGUGUCGGUUCACCGAUAUCAUAUCUGAAGAUAUCGACGAAAGUAUAAAUAUGAGCCCAUCGAUCGAUCGGGUCUCUAUCCGAGUGUGAGCUGUGAUUACGAUUGACUGUGCAGCGAGCUGCGCGUGUUAUACUAGUGCCGGAGCUGCUGUCUCAGGGACCUGGGACUCCUCCCCUGUUCACGGUUGAUGGUGUCGUUCCUUUUCAUGGAUCUUGACUCGACACCAGCGCCACCACGUGCUAGACCUCACGUCUGAGUUGGACAGGGGAUCUUGACAGUUUGAGCUAUGUGCUGCCAGAUCUAUCUUUCCAGCUCACGCGUGAAGUCGCUACUUCUGGACGGUGCUACCUUCCGCUACGGGAGUCCGAGCCAGCAUGGAAGCAUCACUAACUCACCCAGAUGAACGACCUGAUUAGCGACGCGUGAAGGAUCAAGUGGAGGUGUGAUCUCUUCACUUUUUAUGUUUAAAGUGAGAUUCAACUCCUCCAACUUAAUUCCGAAACGCUUUUUCUACGCUCAAAAACCAUGAACAAGAAGACAAUGGAAAUUUUAGAACAUACAGCUUAAUAUUUUUAUAUGUAAAUUAUUUAAUUUAUCAAACUAAUCAUGAAAACAUCUGUGUACACUUGAAUCUCUAAUCAAAUGAACUCUGUAAAUAGGUAUAAUCUUAAUUUAAUAAUAAUUAAAUAGGAUCAUAACUUAGUUAUAUUAAACAUUGGUAAAUAAAAAUUAAUUUCAUUUA